GAAAUGCGAUAAGUAAUGUGAAUUGCAGAAUUCAGUGAAUCAUCGAAUCUUUGAACGCACCUUGCGCUCCUUGGUAUUCCGAGGAGCAUGCCUGUUUGAGUGUCUUGAAGUCAUCAACCCCCUCCGUUUCGCACGGGGGAGGGUUGGAUGUGGGGGCUCUGCUGCCGUGAGGCGGCUCCCCUCAAAUGCAUCGGUUGGGCCUGUGGGUCGAACUCGACUGGGCGUUGUACCAUCCUCGCUCGACAGAGACGUUCCCCCUUCUGUGCCCUUCCCCGACCUGCCUAUCAGAGUGGCGGUCAAGCAACAAACUUUGAAAUCUGACCUCAAAUCAGGUAGGACUACCCGCUGAACUUAA
rnacentral:misc_RNA from 1 species